rnacentral:rRNA from 1 species
CCAAUAGCGUAUAUUAAAGUUGUUGCAGUUAAAAAGCUCGUAGUUGAAUUUCAGAAUCAAUAUAUCGGUCGUGCCUUGGUACGUACUGGUAUCAUUGGUUUCUCCUUUCUGACGAACCAUGAUGUCAUUAAUUUGGUGUUGUGUGAAGUUAGGACUGUUACUUUGAAAAAAUUAGAGUGUUUAAAGCAGGCUUUGGCUUGAAUACAUUAGCAUGGAAUAAUGAAAUAGGACGUUCGAACCUAUUUUGUUGGUUUCUAGGAUCAACGUAAUGAUUAAUAGGGAUAGUUGGGGGCAGUAGUAUUCAAUUGUCAGAGGUGAAAUUCUUGGAUUUAUUGAAGACUAACUACUGCGAAAGCAUUUGCCAAGGAUGUUUUCAUUAAUCAAGAACGAAAGUUAGGGGAUCGAAGACGAUCAGAUACCGUCGUAGUCUUAACCAUAAACUAUGCCGACUAGGGAUCGGAUGAUGUUAAUUUUUUAAUGACUCAUUCGGCGCCUUACG